rnacentral:lncRNA from 1 species
CCGCCCCCGCGCCGGCGCGCUUCGACGUGCCCUGGAACUUACCCUCCCUCUGAGACCAGCCUGCGGGGACGCCGGGCUGCGGCGGCGACGUCGGCGGUAGCUGCCUUCGGAGCGCGCUCCAGACUCGUGGUGGUGUCCCGCGGCUGCUGUGUUCGCCGAGGAAGGAGCUGCUGGGCCUCGAGGCUCCCCCGGUCCUCGGUUUAAGUGUAACACCAGCUAUUUACAUCUCCUCCUUCUAAGGUAAGUUAUUUUCAUUUUUUAAAGCAGUAUUACUGUAUUAAAUUUGUUGUUUACAUAUUUUGUGCAGAAAUAAAUUUUAGUUGUGAAAAU